GUCACAUGUAGGUAAAUGAUAACUUAAAAUGUGGCAAAUGUAACAGGAGCUUCUGCUUCCACCCAAGAUGAAUAAAUUGGGACAAGAAUUGUCCUCAUGCUAUAAACAACUAGAAAAAUGAAAAAAAAAUGUAUGAAACAACAGUUCCAGAUGUUGGAGAAAGGACAGAGGAGGAUAUGCUGCCAGAGAAAAGUCUCCACAGUAAACCUGCUGGAAUGAAUACUAUUAUUUACUCCUCAUUUUGCAGAGAAGAAACUGGAAUUUUAGCGAGUCCUUCUGCCCUUCCCCACUGGAAAGACCUAAUCAUUUAACCACAAAACUGAGCAGAGAACUUUCGCAAUUGAACUGGCAAGAAUUAUUUUAAAUACAUGGC
rnacentral:lncRNA from 10 species